UGCGCAGGCGGAUGAUUAAGUCAGUGGUGAAAUCUCACAGCUCAACUGUGAAACUGCCAUUGAAACUGAUUUUCUUGAAUACGGUUGAGGUAGGCGGAAUACGGUAUGUAGCGGUGAAAUGCUUAGAUAUAACGUAGAACACCGAUUGCGAAGGCAGCUUACUAAGCCGUUAUUGACGCUGAGGCACGAAAGCGUGGGGAGCGAACAGGAUUAGAUACCCUGGUAGUCC
rnacentral:rRNA from 1 species